UCAGUAUCAUUUUGAUUAUUGGUUUCGUUACGAUGAUAUCAUUGCUUGCUGUUAACCUCCGUUAGAGCUGCGGAGGCAGUGUACCAGAGGAUCAGAAAAGACUAAUUGGCAUGGUGUUCUAACAUUGGCGGAAAUUUAGCAGAAAUUGAAUCUGAAGAGGAAAACACCUUCAUCCUCAGGUUCACUCUUAGUAAAGCUAACACAACCGAAGGUUCAAAUUUUACACUGUCGUUGACUUUAUUUCGUAAUCUAGAUGCAUUGUUUUUAUUUGUUUUCUUCGUAUGAAGUGUUGAUUUCUUAAACUUUAGUGAAUAUUCACGUGAAUUGAAAUUAAACAAAGACUGUAUGAGGUGAAAUAAUCCCAAGGCCUAAAUUUAUU